UGACUACUUUGUGCCAACACACCAAACAGCUUUGCUUUCAAGAUGACUAAGGAAAAUGCUGAGUGGGAUUUGAUCAAAGUUGUGGUCAUCCUGACUGUUUAAAAAAAUUGCAGUGAGAAUGUUUCAGGGUCACUUCUGACAUGAAUGCAACAUUGAACCUUAACAAAAUAUAGAUUUGUGGGGAUGUCCUUACGUGAGUCUGUGCUGCCAUGUCAUUUUAGGCCAUUCAAAAGCAGAGUAUGACUUUCAAUCAUGGCAUCACCAUAAUUAGUCAUGGCAACAUUUCCUUCAAGUUGCCCUUGAGGGCUGUAGAAUCUCAGGCUGCCACCACUGCAAUUAGACUAACAGCUGGCAAAAGAGCCAAAUGAGGGAGGUGGGGGAGAAUUAUACUACCAAAUCAAAUAUGGGUUUGUUUUGAAUUAAGCAUUCAAACUUCUGGUAGAGAAAUCUGCUC
rnacentral:lncRNA from 1 species